rnacentral:rRNA from 1 species
ACUCCUACGGGAGGCAGCUAGUGGGAAUUUUGGACAAUGGGCGAAAGCCUGAUCCAGCCAUGCCGCGUGAGUGAAGAAGGCCUUCGGGUUGUAAAGCUCUUUCAGGUGAGAAGAAAUGGCGCUGUCUAAUACAUGGCGUCGAUGACGGUACCACCAGAAGAAGCACCGGCUAACUACGUGCCAGCAGCCGCGGUAAUACGUAGGGUGCGAGCGUUAAUCGGAAUUACUGGGCGUAAAGCGUGCGCAGGCGGUUGUGUAAGACAGGUGUGAAAUCCCCGGGCUUAACCUGGGAACUGCGCUUGUGACUGCACGGCUAGAGUACGGUAGAGGGGGUGGAAUUCCACGUGUAGCAGUGAAAUGCGUAGAGAUGUGGAGGAACACCGAUGGCGAAGGCAGCCCCCUGGGCCUGUCAGCUGACGCUCCAUGCACGAAAGCGUGGGGAGCAAACAGGAUUAGAUAGCCCUGGUAGGCU